rnacentral:lncRNA from 1 species
CUUUACAGUUAUUUACAUAUGUAAUUGUAUUGGUUAGUAUUGAAUUACGCUUUUGACUGCAAGUUCCAGAAUGCCUUGCGACAGGAACGAGAGUGAGAACGCGCCAGUUAUGUGCAGGUGCAAAGUGAUUAAGCUGACCUUUACGCUAGCAUCUUACCUGCAUUGCUCUGUAGAAUCUAAAGUUCUUAAAUGUAACGUGAACAAGUAAUAUUACUAAAAGAAGCGUACAUAUCAACCCCGACGUCCCGAGUCAUUACUUUGAAGACAGUUAUUCUAAAAGUAAUUGCUCUUUUGACCAAUCAGAUAUGCUCUGAAAAAGAGCUGAUACGAAAAUAUCUAACGUGAUAAUUUCCCAUCAUUAUUCAACAGGCUAAUGGGUCUCCAGUUGUCUAUAUAAAGAGUAUCCUUAUUAAGUUUGGGAAUCAAAGUAAUUACACCUUGUUUUAAGGAAGCCGGUAACUCCCAUUUUUCUAUUGAUUCUUGAAACAUAGCAAGAAUGAAAGGAAUCAAUUUAUCAUUGAAUGCUUUAUAAAACCCGCUUAUUAAACCAUAAUUUCCAGGGGACCUAUUGUCCUUAAGGCUUUUAAUACAGUAUUUUAUCUCAAUUUCAGAUAACUCAUCACAAAAAUCCCUGAAAUCAUUAUCUAUCUUCUUAGCAAUGUUUACUGGAAAAUGCCUGGGUGCUUUUCAAGACUGGCGGAGAGAGUGCGUGGACGUCGGCGGCCUACUGCGUCGAUGGGUUGUUCAAAUUCAUUUGUGGCUUGUUUUUCUUGUCUUUUUCUGUUUUGCAGGGUUCGUGAUCGUCGACAGGUGGACAGCGACAGCGACUUCGAAGAGGAAACAACUGUCCUGGAUGAGGUCCAGUUGGAUGUGCCAUUGGAUGAUGUGCCAGAUGUUCCACAGCUGCUAGUCCUCCUUGAUGUCCAGAAUGCUGCUAUCAUCCUUGAGGAUGUGCCAGAUGUGCAGACUAUCCUUGAGGAGGCCACUGUUAUUUGGCAGUUGAUUCUGAUUAGGUUCAGCCCCCAGUACUGUGGGCCUGUUGUGAUCAGGAACAAUGCCGGUCCGGUGGUUAAAGCUUGGAGAACUUUCCAGUUCAUCAGCCCCAUCAUCACCUACAUGCGUGGGGGAUCCCAGCAGGUGGUGGUGAGGAUGCACCACGUGAGUAGGGUGAGAGGCCUGGAGACUCAACUGGUGUGGGCCAUCUCCAAGGAGACAGCCAGGCUUAGUCCAGAGGGCAUCCCCUACUGUGCCACCAAAGUGCAGUCCAUCACUUGGAUCCAGCGUGUGGCUGGCAGGGUGACCCACUAUGCGUCUCACCUCCGCCACGAGACGUCUGUGGACGUGACGCUUGGCUGCUACCAGGUAAAUAAACAAUUUCCUAUGUAUAUAGACUAG